rnacentral:misc_RNA from 1 species
UUUAAACCCUUUUACUUGGUUCAAACAUUCUCCACUUCCACUUUCCCAUAUGUUUCCUUCUUGAUUUUCCGGUACCCAUGAAAUUUCCAUCUCCUACUCGUCACUCAAUUGACUUAUCAAACAAUCUUUAAGAAUACUAGAAUUGUUGAAGCUGGCAUUUGACCAAUCCCACCUUCAUCAUCCUUAGUAGCCAGCCAUCCAUGA